AGUGAACGCUGGCGGUAGGCCUAACACAUGCAAGUCGAACGGCAGCACAGUAAGAGCUUGCUCUUACGGGUGGCGAGUGGCGGACGGGUGAGGAAUACAUCGGAAUCUACUCUUUCGUGGGGGCUAACGUAGGGAGACUUACGCUAAUACCGCAUACGUCCUACGUGUGAAAGCAGGGGAUCUUCGGACCUUGCGCGAUUGAAUGAGCCGAUGUCGGAUUAGCUAGUUGGCGGGGUAAAGGCCCACCAAGGCGACGAUCCGUAGCUGGUCUGAGAGGAUGAUCAGCCACACUGGAACUGAGACACGGUCCAGACUCCUACGGGAGGCAGCAGUGGGGAAUAUUGGACAAUGGGCGCAAGCCUGAUCCAGCCAUACCGCGUGGGUGAAGAAGGCCUUCGGGUUGGAAAGCCCUUUUGUUGGGAAAGAAAAGCAGCAGGUUAAUACCCCGCUGUUCUGACGGUACCCAAAGAAUAAGCACCGGCUAACUUCGUG
rnacentral:rRNA from 1 species